rnacentral:lncRNA from 1 species
CUUCCCAUCAGAAAGGAGCAGACAUUUGGCUGCUGUCCAGCCUAGGGCUUCACAAUUCCAGCUUGAUAAAGCCUUGGAGGGUUUCUUUCUCUCUGGGAAUCCACUUCCUUAAUCACCAACACUUCAGAGCUAAUUACACUGAUUUAAUGCACCUGGCUUUCUCUUGCACUUAAACCCUCAAUGGGAGAGGAAAUACUCUGACCAAUCAGCAUUUAUUGGAAAGCCAUGAAACCAAUGAGGCAUAAAGCAAAAGAAACUACCAUCAGAGUGAACAGGCAACCUACAACAUGGGAGAAAAUUUUCACAACCUACACAUCUGACAAAGGGCUAAUAUCCAGAAUCUACAAUGAACUCAAACAAAUUUACAAGAAAAAAACAAACAACCCCAUCAAAAAGUGGGCGAAGGACAUGAACAGACACUUCUCAAAAGAAGACAUUUAUGCAGCCAAAAAACACAUGAAGAAAUGCUCAUCAUCACUGGCCAUCAGAGAAAUGCAAAUCAAAACCACUAUGAGAUAUCAUCUCACACCAGUUAGAAUGGCAAUCAUUAAAAAGUCAGGAAACAACAGGUGCUGGAGAGGAUGUGGAGAAAUAGGAACACUUUUACACUGUUGGUGGGACUGUAAACUAGUUCAACCAUUGUGGAAGUCAGUGUGGCGAUUCCUCAGGGAUCUAGAACUAGAAAUACCAUUUGACCCAGCCAUCCCAUUACUGGGUAUAUACCCAAAUGACUAUAAAUCAUGCUGCUAUAAAGACACAUGCACACGUAUGUUUAUUGCGGCACUAUUCACAAUAGCAAAGACUUGGAACUAAACUUCUUUUUUUAUAAAUUACCCAGCCUCAUAUAUUUCUUUAUAACAAUGCAAGAAGGGGC